UACGGAGGAUCCAAGCGUUAUCCGGAUUUAUUGGGUUUAAAGGGUGCGCAGGCGGAAGAUUAAGUCGGCGGUGAAAUUUUGCAGCUCAACUGUAAAAGUGCCAUCGAUACUGGUUUUCUUGAGUGUGGAUGAAGUAGGCGGAAUUUGUGGUGUAGCGGUGAAAUGCAUAGAUAUCACGAGGAACUCCGAUUGCGCAGGCAGCUUACUAAACUACUACUGACGCUCAGGCACGAAGGCGUGGGGAUCAAACAAGAUUAGAUA
rnacentral:rRNA from 1 species